CUCACAUAUUCCAAAAAAGAUAAGCGUAUUAUGGGUGCCUCCCCUCGAUGGAAAUAGGGGGGUUAACUCCUAUUGAUUUCUCCUCCUCAAUAGCCAAUGGAGUAUCCAAGUCAGCAAAAACGGUCCACAAACAGCAACCACAGGAAUACUUCAAGGCAAUUUAUUCACUUACAAAAAUUAAGAAGGUGUGCAAAUAAAAUAUAAAAACAAUAUAAAAAUGAGAUGUUGGUCCUACGCGUUUCGUCCUUAUACAAAAAGGACUUCCUCAGGGACCAUCUAUUUCAAUAAAAUAUCAAAUAUCAAUUGACAAAUGCACAGAGUAAACAGCAU